rnacentral:rRNA from 1 species
AUUGAACGCUGGCGGCAGGCCUAACACAUGCAAGUCGAACGAGUGGCGGAAGGGUGAGUAAUGUCUGGGAAACUGCCUGAUGGAGGGGGAUAACUGCUGGAAACGGUAGCUAAUACCGCAUACCAUCCGAUGCGCCCAGAUGGGAUUAGCUAGUAGGUGGGGUAAAGGCUCACCUAGGCGACGAUCCCUAGCUGGUCUGAGAGGAUGAUCAGCCACACUGGAACUGAGACACGGUCCAGACUCCUACGGGAGGCAGCAGUGGGGAAUAUUGCACAAUGGGCGCAAGCCUGAUGCAGCCAUGCCGCGUGUAUGAAGAAGGCCUUCGGGUUGUAAAGUACUUUCAGCGGGGAGGCGUUACCCGCAGAAGAAGCACCGGCUAACUCCGUGCCAGCAGCCGCGGUAAUUC